rnacentral:rRNA from 1 species
ACGGUGAAGCCCAGCUUGCUGGGUGGAUCAGUGGCGAACGGGUGAGUAACACGUGAGCAACCUGCCCCUGACUCUGGGAUAAGCGCUGGAAACGGCGUCUAAUACUGGAUACGAACCACAGUCGCAUGGCUGGUGGUUGGAAAGAUUUUUUGGUUGGGGAUGGGCUCGCGGCCUAUCAGCUUGUUGGUGAGGUAAUGGCUCACCAAGGCGUCGACGGGUAGCCGGCCUGAGAGGGUGACCGGCCACACUGGGACUGAGACACGGCCCAGACUCCUACGGGAGGCAGCAGUGGGGAAUAUUGCACAAUGGGCGCAAGCCUGAUGCAGCAACGCCGCGUGAGGGAUGACGGCCUUCGGGUUGUAAACCUCUUUUAGCAAGGAAGAAGCGAAAGUGACGGUACUUGCAGAAAAAGCGCCGGCUAACUACGUGCCAGCAGCCGCGGUAAUACGUAGGGCGCAAGCGUUAUCCGGAAUUAUUGGGCGUAAAGAGCUCGUAGGCGGUUUGUCGCGUCUGCUGUGAAAUCCCGAGGCUCAACCUCGGGCCUGCAGUGGGUACGGGCAGACUAGAGUGCGGUAGGGGAGAUUGGAAUUCCUGGUGUAGCGGUGGAAUGCGCAGAUAUCAGGAGGAACACCGAUGGCGAAGGCAGAUCUCUGGGCCGUAACUGACGCUGAGGAGCGAAAGGGUGGGGAGCAAACAGGCUUAGAUACCCUGGUAGUCCACCCCGUAAACGUUGGGAACUAGUUGUGGGGUCCUUUCCACGGAUUCCGUGACGCAGCUAACGCAUUAAGUUCCCCGCCU